rnacentral:rRNA from 1 species
AACUCUUAAGAAAUUAGGAGGUGCCUCUUGAGGAGCUCGGUGACAGGUGCUGCAUGGCUGUCGUCAGCUCGUGUCGUGAGAUGUUGGGUUAAGUCCCGCAACGAGCGCAACCCUUGUCUUUAGUUGCCAUCAUUUAGUUGGGCACUCUAAAGAGACUCCCGGUGUCAAACCGGAGGAAGGUGGGGAUGACGUCAAGUCCUCAUGGCCUUUAUGACCAGGGCUACACACGUACUACAAUGGCAUAGACAAAGGGCAGCGACAUCGCGAGGUGAAGCGAAUCCCAUAAACUAUGUCUCAGUCCGGAUUGGAGUCUGCAACUCGACUCCAUGAAGUUGGAAUCGCUAGUAAUCGUAGAUCAGCAUGCUACGGUGAAUACGUUCCCGGGCCUUGUACACACCGCCCGUCACACCACGGGAGUUGGUUGUACCAGAAGCAGUUGAGCGAACUAUUCGUAGACGCAGGCUGCCAAGGUAUGAUUGGUAACUGGGGUGAAGUCGUAACAAGGUA